GCCAAGGACGGCAUUUGCCUGCCCGCGAGCUCUGGGAUGUGCCCAGACCGCGGCUCCGGCCGUCCCGCGCGCGCUCCAGGGGUCCCGGGACCCCACAGGGCCUGGUACAGGUCGCGUAGCCGGGAGGCGGCGCACGGCCCUCGACCUCUGCCCUCCGAAGAAGGCUCAGACUUUUGGCACUGCUGGAAAUAAUGGCCUCCGCGAGGAGGGCGCUCGGGGAGCGGCUGCCGGUCCCGUGCCCCGCGGUCCGGGUGCCGCCCUAGGCCAGACCUGCGCUGGCAGCCCCGAUCACCUCACCCGCGCCGAAAGUGAAGGGGGAAGGGCUCCCCUGACCCCCGCCCAUACGCCCCAGGCCGGAGGGAAUGAAGAGUCGCCCGCGGGGCCUGGCUUGCCGACCAUGGCUCCCCACCGCCAAAGGUCUGUCUGUUGGCGGCACUUUGGGGCCAGAUUUUCGUGCUGUGUUUACCCUGUGUCUUAUCAGUAGUUCAUUACAGUCUUACAAGAAAAAGCAAUGAGAAAUUGUGAAGCGGGAUCUGCAGAAUGUUGGGUUCUAUUGCCAUGAUUUCAGUGGAGCCUUCUUACAAAAGUAGGGGCUGCUUGUGGACAGACCUGAGAGAAGACAUAAUUAAAUCAUCACAGCUGGUGGCCCAAGAAAUCCUUUCUAUCCCCCAAAACCUGCAGCUACAGACUUGAGAUGGUGAUUCUGCCUCGAUUUCCCUGGGCACAUGAUGGAUCCAAGCGUAACCAGCUCACUUACCUGUGGACAGAGAAAAGAGAAACCUUGUUUUAUUUGAGGGUAAAGAGAAUAAAAAAUACAGAGCUAGGGGAAGAACGUAGCAUUCAGAAACAUUAGAGGAAAUGAGAACUCUUCUUCACCAGGGCCCAGAAAAAAAUUUUGGAAACCCGUUAGCAGUCCUAAGGUUUCCUUCUGUAAAUGGAAGGAAGAGGUGGGGACUGAGAUGAAAAUUCAACAGAAUGAAAUGAGAAACAGACAGGGUAAGGAAAAUUAGCAGUACUCCCCAACAGUAGGAACAAAAUUAAAGUACACAUUGGAGAUAGUAAAGAGCAAUAUUCAUACAGCAAAAAAAAAAUUUGAAUUUGAUGUCAAGAGCAAAGCUGAUGCUAAGAAAUUGAAUGGAAUGUGAAGGACAAAGACAAACAAAGAGAGAGAAGAUGAUAGCUGUGGAAAAAGAAGAAUGGAGAAUCUGGAGAACCGACAUAUGGAUAAUUUGUGUUCCUAAAAAAGGAACGAAGGCAAAUGGAAGAGAAGUAAUGAAAGUAACUGAAACAGAAAAGUUUUCCCUUUUUUUUUUUUU
rnacentral:lncRNA from 10 species